CUCCCGGGCGGAUCCCGUGGGGGGAAUCCGCUUCGGGACGGAAAGCGCCCCGCUCCGAC
rnacentral:ncRNA from 1 species